AUGUUGGCCCGUAUCUUCACUGCCUGCUCCAUAAAAUUGAGACAAAAAGGAAGAGAGAAGCAGAAGUUGAACUUUAAGCCAAACAGGGAGAGGGGAGAGAGUUGAAAUAAAAAUCUAAACCUAAAACUAAGAGAGAGUCAAUGAUUCAAUCAGUAGACCAUAAUAAAACACUAUGCGAUAAAUUUCUUGUUCUUCAUUCAAUUGCAUUGCUCAUUCAAUUACAUUGUACAUUAUGGUCUGCAAGACAUAUUUAAAGAGCCUAAAAGCUAUUAUUUGAAAAAUGAGAUGAUAGUUCAACUUGAUAGAGAGAUAUUUAACGUAUGCUGGAACAAGGAACAUAGCAAUAGAACAAGGUCUUGGAUAUAUGGAAUAUGUUUGGAAAUAAAGCAAGCAUGGUAAUGAACAAAUAUCAUUAAAUUGACCGUCACCUGACCUUUGUCUCUCUUUUCGGUUUCUCAGCAAGAUGAUUAUUUGUCCUAAACUAAAGCAAAAACUUGAGCAUAUUUAAACCAUAAAAAUUGAGCUUAAAAUGAACCAUAUUAAGUUCAACACAUUAGCCAUAACAUUUGUUGCAGCAAUAUAAAAAAAGAAAGUCUGUGGAUGGAAGGCAUAUUAAAUCACUUAAACACCCGCUUUUACAAAAAAAAAAUAAUAAUAAUAAUUAACGGAUAGUACAAGUUAAAACCAGCAAAAGCAACACAUAUAUUUCUAAUACUCAUCAGCUGAUCCGAUUUGAAUCAGAUUUAUCAACUGAUUCAUAUUCUUUAGAAGAGCUUAAACACGAAUCUUUGUAAAAACAACUCGAAUUCAUAUUAAAAAAAUAAUAAUAAUAACAAGAAGACGAACCCUCCCCUACGAUUUGCCCAUCAGAUCUUUUCAUCGUUCAUCCUACAGCAGGAGAGGAGCUAAGCCAACCACGCCCAGAGAAAUGGCACAGGAGACCAUCAUCGCCACAUGAACACUCUACUAUUAUAUUCCCUAGCAAUCACCAAACAUAUACUUUACAUUUCUUCACUCCCCAUAAAUGAGGUGUAAGAAGCACCCCUGUGACCCCAGUAGCACCGUCGGUGUCUGUGCCUCCUGUCUCCGGGAACGCCUUCUCGUCCUCAUCGCCGCACAGGCUCGAGUUCAAUACACACAGGACCAUGCUCAAUUGGCCCGCGCCUACUCACGCGCCACCGUAGAUGAUAGUCGGAAAUCAGACGCUCGGCGACCUCCUAUUAUAUUCCCUCGCUCCGUUUCUCCUUACGUUGCUCGACGGAAAUCUGACGACACCUCCUGGUCCCACAACCUCCGCUUCUACAGUACUCCCCAGGUGGGACCCACUUACAGCUCCUCCUCCAUCGCAACCGGCUUCGCCACUUCAGCAACUUGUAAAACUAAGCGCGCCAGAUUCUCCCUUUUGUCGAAUCUAUUCAGGUCUAGAUCCGAGAAAUUUAGUCCAGAUCCUUCUGGUUCCGGUCCUGGGGUUCCUUCUCGGAAUUCGAGCGAGGCAUCAUAUUCUUCGCCGUCCUGGCUAUCAGCGAUAUUUUCCGGUCGCAGGAAAAAGCAAUCUGCGCUCUUCUCUGAGCAAUAUUCGGGCGUUGUAGGUCAUAAACCACGUCGGAGGAUGGAUCGAGGAAUGUCGCCAGCGAGAGGGGCGGAUUCCGACGAUGAUUGUGAGGAUUGCAAUCGGUCUCCGUCUGGCAGUGGGUCCUCUUCGGAGUCAUCACAGGCACAGUGGUGGAAGAGGACACCAGUAGCACCAGCAGCGAUGAGGAGAGGGAAGCCGGGAAACGGCACAAACGUAUCGGGAUUAGCGUUUUGUUUGAGCCCUCUGCUGAGGGCCAGCCCUAACCGGCACUGGAACCAGAAAGGCGGAUUGCCACCCGAUAUGGGAUUCUCCGGGGAGGCGAGGGUUCCCGUGAAGCCUCAUCUGUCCGUGGCGGCGUCAUUUUACGCGAACCGGUCGCGGAAGCUAUGCGAUUUUGGAAGGGUUCAUCACAACCGUUGAGAACGGAUCAUUGACUUUGACAAUGGCAAUGGUAAUAAUUAUAAAAGUACGGUUUUGGCCCUCCUAUAUUGCAGUUUUAACUUCUUUUGUUAUAUAUAAAUGUUUGAUAAAUUAGAUCAUAGAGGGAGGGAAAAGGGAAAAAAAAAAAGAAGGAAAAUGGGUGUUUGGUUUUCUCUGUACAUUAGCGAUGUUUAUUAUUAGCAGCAUAAACAAAAAGGAAGUACUAUGUAUCUUUUUUGUUGUAUAGUUUGUGAAAUAUUUACGUAUAGUGAAAUUUAAUUUUAUUGGAAAUUAAUUAUUAUAU
rnacentral:misc_RNA from 1 species